rnacentral:rRNA from 1 species
UGCAGUCGAGCGGACUUGCUGGAGCUUGCUCCAGCAGGUUAGCGGCGGACGGGUGAGUAACACGUGGGCAACCUGCCUGUAAGACUGGGAUAACUCCGGGAAACCGGAGCUAAUACCGGAUAGUAUCUUGAACCGCAUGGUUCAAGUUGGAAAGACGGUUUCGGCUGUCACUUACAGAUGGGCCCGCGGCGCAUUAGCUAGUUGGUGAGGUAAUGGCUCACCAAGGCAACGAUGCGUAGCCGACCUGAGAGGGUGAUCGGCCACACUGGGACUGAGACACGGCCCAGACUCCUACGGGAGGCAGCAGUAGGGAAUCUUCCGCAAUGGACGAAAGUCUGACGGAGCAACGCCGCGUGAGUGAUGAAGGUUUUCGGAUCGUAAAACUCUGUUGUUAGGGAAGAACAAGUGCGAGAGUAACUGCUCGCACCUUGACGGUACCUAACCAGAAAGCCACGGCUAACUACGUGCCAGCAGCCGCGGUAAUACGUAGGUGGCAAGCGUUGUCCGGAAUUAUUGGGCGUAAAGCGCGCGCAGGCGGUUUCUUAAGUCUGAUGUGAAAGCCCCCGGCUCAACCGGGGAGGGUCAUUGGAAACUGGGAAACUUGAGUGCAGAAGAGGAGAGUGGAAUUCCACGUGUAGCGGUGAAAUGCGUAGAGAUGUGGAGGAACACCAGUGGCGAAGGCGACUCUCUGGUCUGUAACUGACGCUGAGGCGCGAAAGCGUGGAGGAGCAAACAGGAUUAGAUACCCUGGUAGUCCACGCCG